rnacentral:rRNA from 1 species
GGGAUAUUGCACAAUGGAGGAAACUCUGAUGCAGCAAUGCCGCGUGAGGGAAGACGGUCUUCGGAUUGUAAACCUAAGUAGACAGGAACGAUAAUGACGGUACCGGUAAAGUAAGCUCCGGCGAACUACGUGCCAGCAGCCGCGGUAAGACGUAGGGAGCGAGCGUUGUCCGGAUUUACUGGGUGUAAAGGGUGCGCAGGCGGGGCAGCAAGUCAGGCGUGAAAUACCGAGGCUUAACUUCGGAGCUGCGCUUGAAACUGUCGCUCUUGAGUGAAGUAGAGGCAAGCGGAAUUCCUAGUGUAGCGGUGAAAUGCGUAGAUAUUAGGAGGAACACCAGUGGCGAAGGCGGCUUGCUGGGCUUUAACUGACGCUGAAGCACGAAAGCAUGGGGAACAAACA